CCUACGGGAGGCAGCAGUAGGGAAUUUUCGUCAAUGGGCGCAAGCCUGAACGAGCAAUGCCGCGUGAACGAGGAAUGUCUUCUGAUCGGAAAGUUCUGUUGAAAUGGAAAAAGAGCAGAGAGAGGAAAUGCUUUCUGAUUGAUAUUACCCUUCGAGGCAGUCACGGCUAACUACGGGCCAGCCAGCGGGGUAAUACGUAGGUGUAGAGCGUUAUCCGGAAUGGUUGGGCGAAAAGGGUGCGUGGGCGGCCUGCUAGGUCUGGAGUGAAAGGUACCGGCUCAACCGGUACAGGCUAUUGAGACUGGCGGUCUAGAGAGCAGGAGAGGGCGGUGGAACUCGAUGUGUAGCGGUAAAAUGCGUAGAUAUAUGGAAGAACACCAGUGGCGAAGGCGGCCGCCUGGCCUGCUACUGACGCUGAGGCACGAAAGCGUGGGGAGCAAAUAGGAUUAGAUACCCUGGUAGUC
rnacentral:rRNA from 1 species